AUAAGAUACAAGAAACUAUUUUGAUCCUUUGUAUCCUUUUGUUUUGUUUUUACAUUAUUUUCUUUUGAGUUCAAAUGUGUCUUCCAAGGUGUAGAAUCAUCCUCAGUAGUCAGUGAAUCCAUCUGAUCUGUGAUGAGGUUCACAGUGACUCCAUCUGGUCUGUGAUGAGGUUUAGUUGUCAAUGAAUCCAUCUGAUCUGUGAUGAGGGUCACAGUGACUCCAUCUGUGAUGAGGUUCACAGUGACUCCAUCUGAUCUGUGAUGAGGUCACAGUGAAUCCAUCUGGUCUGUGAUGAGGUCACAGUGACUCCAUCUGGUCUGUGAUGAGGUCACAGUGACUCCAUCUGGUCUGUGAUGAGGUUUUUAGGUCUCAAUUAAUUAGUUGAAGUCUCUUCACUUCAUUCCUGCCCCCUCCUUUUUUGUUUUUUCGAGACGGUUUCUCUGUGUAGCCCUGGCAGUCCUGGAACUCGCUCUGUAGACCAGGCUGGCCCCAAGCUCACAAAGAACCACCUGCCUCUGCCUCUGCCCUCCCGAGUGCUAGGAUUAAAGGUGCAAGCACAGCCGCCUGGCUUUGAUCCAUCCCUUAAUGACAGUGGGGUAGAAGCUGCCCCCUGUCUUUCCCUUAGGGAUGAAUGCAUCCAUGUAACCCUUGUACCUUCUUGCUGGGCGAUCCUUCUGUAACUGUGCACAGAGCUUUCUGGACCUUCCCAGCUGACUUGAGUCUCUCCUGUCUGAUGGAGAGCAGGUAACCCGUGCUUCCUUUGGGCGUCUGCUUGCUUAGUAUAUAAUUUCCCAUUACAUGCAAAUAAUUCUUUUUUUAAAGCAGGGUAUAUCACCUUUGCCUUUUUAAUGUAGGAGUAUGGUAUUUACAAACACCCUUUGAAGCCCUAAAAGAAACCUUUUGUUCAUGUAUACUGGCAUUUUAAUGCAUUGAAAAAUCAACUUGGUAUUAUUUUGUCCAGCCCCUUUAUGCAUCUUGUAUAAGCCAUUGUACUGGGUGUUUUUGUGUGUUAACUUGACACAAACUAGAUUCAUCAGAGGAGGAGCCUCAGCUGUGGAAAUGCCUUGAUGAGAUCCAGCUGCAAGGCAUUUUCUCCCUUAGUGAUCAGUGGGGAAGGACCAGCCCAUGGUGGGUGGGGCCAUCCCUGGGCUUCUGGUCCUGGGUUCUGUAAGAAAGCAGGCUGAGCAAGCCAUGGUGGGCAGGCCAGCAAAGCAGCUGCUGCCUCCGGAAUCCUGGCUGUUUGGGUUCCUGCCCUAAUGCCCUUUAUUGAUGAACAAUAUGUGGACGUGGAAGCCGAAUAACCCCUUCCUCCCCACGUUACUUUGGUCAUGGUGUUCCGUCACAGCAAUGGAAACCCUAAGACAACCAUCCUCAAUUUGGGGCUCUCCUGGUCAUAGCUAAACCUAAUCUUAAAAGAUCAGUUUGGGUAUUGAGGUCAUGCUUGAUUCACCAAAACAAUCAGGAAAUGUCCCAUCAAGUUGUAUGACUUGUAAUGGUUUGAAUGGUCUAAUAGACACAUAAAACUCUCUGGCCUCGACAUGUUUUGUGUUGCCUCUUCAUACUUUUUUCCUGUUUCUUCAGUGGGCUGUUGCUAUGUUCAGGUAGUCUACCUGCUCUGGAGCCCUUCUGCACUUUAUCAAAUCUCAUAGAUUUAUUAACAGAGAAGGUAAUGUUACAAUUUUUGAACAUUUUAAAUUACAUUUGUUGUAUUUGUGUAUAUA
ensembl:lncRNA